rnacentral:miRNA from 1 species
CCUCCCAGACCCUCCCACCUCCUGGACAGCUCAUUGAAUGAAGCUUCACAAUUGUAAAAUGGAUGCUGUCCAGGAGGUGGGAGGGUCUGGGAGG